CAAGCUUCUCAUUAUUGCAAUGCAUGUUUACAGAUAAGCAAGAGGAGAAGCCUAGACUAAUCCAAGUUGUUCAUGAAGAAAGUCAAACUCUAAAACAUUUAAAGAGGUUUAUUCUGCGCCAAAUAUGAGUGACCAUGGCUUGAGGCAUAAUAUCAAGAGGUCCUGAGAACAUUUACCCGAGGUGGUUGGGUACAGCUUGGUUCUACACAUUUUGGGGAGGAGACAUAAGACAUCAGUCAAUACAUGUGAGGUAUACAUUGGCUCGAUAUAAAAAGGCUGGACAUUUCAAAGUGGGGGUUUUCAGGUCAUAGGUGAAGUCAAAGAUUUCUUGAUUGGCAGUUGGUUGAAGGAGUUCAGCUUAAGAUAAGGAGGGAUGUGGAAGCCAAGGUUCUCGCUGUGUAGAUGGAGCCUUCAGGUAACAGGCUUCAGAUAUAAUAGAUGGUAAAUGUAUUUUGUCAGGUUUUAAAAGAUGUUAGACUUUUAGUUAAAUCUCUCCUGUAUCGGGAAAAAACCUGGAAAGAUUUCCAUACUACUGGCAAAGAUCUCACUAAUUAGCCCUCAUAUAUUGACUUCUGUUUUCAUUUUUCUUCUUUGGUAAAAUGAAUCCUGCUUUGUAUCAUAGAUUUAUCCUCAAUUGAUUGGUGAUUCCAGCCCUUUGGUCCAGCACUCAAGCCUGGAUCACUCAGUCAUCAUCUUUAUCCACUAACUGCUGGACUCUAAUGAAAAGAAAGCUCUUACCUGCCCAACUUAUUGCCUCCAAGUGUACCAAGAUACGUUUCUCUCUGACAUUGCCUGUACAUUUGCCUGUAGAACUGAAUAAAUGCCUAAAAAAUUAGUGCUAAAUGGCAGCAACUAGAGUUUACUUUGAAGCUGUUUUAUUAUCCUUCAUUGUGUAUAAUUCACUGAGAAAAAUGACACCUGGAUGGUGCCCUUUUCUUGUUUUAUAAAUAUUCAUUUCUUCCUGGUGAUAUAAAAAAGGUUGAAAUGAAAGUUUCGGGUUUUCCUGGGGAAAAGAAAGAAUGACAAUUUUCGAUUACUGUGCUGCUUAUCACAAAAGUAGUUUCAUUUGCCUGAUAGCUUCAUUGACUGGUGUCAAGAUAAUGCCAAGUAGAGUGUUUUGCUAGCUUAAUGCCACCCACAGAGAUAGACAAAAUAUUACUUUUCACAUGCAUUAUGAAAAUAGUAGCUAUUAAUUGUGCUGCUCAACUGUAAGCUGAUCAAACUGCAGAAAACAAGAAAUGUGGCAUUUACGAUUUAGGAAGGCACUUUUCUCAAAUUUCCAGUCAUUAAUUCACAGUUUAAAUCUUGGACCUAAGAAUAUUUACCAAAUUCCUCUAAGUUUCCUGAUCUACUGAAUAUUUUCUUAUUGUUAUGUCAAUCAAGUAAAAUUCUAAGGAGGUUUGAGACUGAGAUUUAUUAUGGCAUUAUAACUCAAUGUUCUGUUUUUCUACUGCAGUUUAAUGUUUUAAAAGGUUAAAUAAGAAUUGGUAUUUAAUGUUAACAAUAACCAUACCUGUUCAUAGACCAUUUUCAUCAACACUUAAGUAUUGGUGCUUAUGCCAUAUCAGGCACUGUUUUAGGCACCACGGAGUAUAAAAAUGGUAAUUUUAGAAUUGUGUGCUUAAGUUUUAAAUCAAGACUGGAAUUUAAGAUACAAAAAGUAUAAUGGCAAAAUUUUCCAGAAAAGUAGACUGGGACUAGAUUAUGAAGACCUUGAAUGCAAGGUUGAGGAAUAUAGAUGUAGAAGGAGCCACUGCAGAAAUUCCCCAGGAGAGUGGCAGAGCAUGUCUAUUCUUUAGAAAUGUCAUUGUGGUCACAAUGCAAAUGAUUGCUUAUGUAUGAGAGGGGCCUAGUGCAAGAGGCGCAGAAGUAUAGAAUGUGCAGGGUUGCAUCGAAAGUAUAGAGUGUGUAGUGACUGUGAGGAUGAAGAGCAGAAAUUACAGUCACUAGCAUAGAGGCAGUGCAGGGUUCUCUUACAUGACAAUAAUGGCAUCAUUAUUAUUAUUAAUUACCAAUAAUAGCUGUCUCCUAUAGCUGGAACAGGACCUCUUGGGUCAUUUAGAUGGUCCUGAUAGCAUGAUCAUAAAUGAUCUGGGAGAUGACUUAAGCAGUAUGUGGUCCAACCCAAGGUCCUGCAUUCUUUAUCUUCUUGAAGCUAUAAUUUGUAAGAGUGACUUGAGGGAGAGUGGGAGAGCGACAAAGUUGGCCCCUAGAUGUCAUGAAAGCCAUGUGUUAGAUGCCACCUCUCCAAGCCUUUCAAAUAUCUUGAUCUUUCAUCUUCAUACCACACUUCUUUCCAAGGUCAGGAGGGGUCAGUGUGGUAACUCACCAUGUGACGCAGACUGAGCCUGAGAUCUAGAAAGUGACUGGCCAUUGAUCAUCUAACAUAUCAUUGGAGGUGGAUGAAUCCAACAAGCAAGGUAGUUUUUGCAACUGAUUAUUGGCCUGAAACAGGAAGAGAUGAAUAAAUUUUUAUUUAAAAUCAUGGCAGUUUAUUUGACCUGUCUCUUGAGAAGUCAUUUACAUUGGAAUUCAACCAUCAAACUUCUCAGCUGACACCCUUCAAUAAUUGUUGGGAACAGGCCCCCCAAAAUCUGUCCAUAAACUGGUCCCAAAACUGGCCAUAAACAAAAUCUCUGCAGCACUGUAACAUGUUCAUAAUGGCCCUAAAGCCCAAGCUGGAAGGUUGUGGGUUUACGGGAAUGAGAGCAAGGAACAUCUGGCCAGCUCAGGGCAGAAAACCGCUUAAGGCAUUCUUAAGCGACAAACAAUAACAUGAACGAUCUGUGCCUUAAGGACGUGCUCCUGCUGCAGUUAACUAGCCCAACCUAUUCCUUUAAUUCGGCCCAUCCCUUCGUUUCCCAUAAGGAAUACCUUUUAGUUAAUCAAAUAUCUAUAGAAACAAUGCUAAUGACUGGCUUGCUGUUAAUAAAUAUAUGGGUAAAUCUCUGUUCAGGGCUCUCAGCUCUGAAGGCUGUGAAACCCCUGAUUUCCCACUUCACACCUCUAUAUUUCUGUGUGUGUGUCUUUAAUUCCUCUAGCGCCACUGAGUUAGGGUCUCCCCGACCAAGCUGGUCUCAGCAAAUAAUAAGAGCUAGUGUGACAUAUGACAGAUGAAAAGAGAUUAAUAUAGUGGUUAUCUUAAUAAGAAAUCCUACAAAUAAUUAGCGUGGUAGUAAAAGCAUAUAUUUGUAGAUCUCAAUUUAAAUUCUGGGUCUGCUAUUGUAAGUCAGAUAAACUUGGCAAGUUACUUUACCUUUCUAACCUCAGUUUCUUUACUUUCUGUCAGUAAGAUAUGAAUGCCAACAUGACAGAUUUGUUUUUAUAUUAAAAUGAAACACUAUACACUUAAGGCAGGUUCUGGGAAAUAAUAAUGGCUCAAAAUUUUAGUCAUUAUUAUAUAGAAAAAUGAAUUGCAAAGUCAUUUUAUGGGACUCUAUUUUCAACUUUUAUGUGGAACUGCAUUGUAUGAAACAGCAAAGUACAACUUAGUAUCUAUUUUGUAAACUCAGCUGUAUGGCAUUUUUUUUCUUAUUAUUAAAUA
rnacentral:lncRNA from 1 species